CAGGACCAGCCUUUAAAGAUGAAAUCAGUGUCAUCACAACCAUUGUGAAAAGCAAGAUGCCCUUUGGCCAAGGCAUGUACUGACAUUGCAGUGGCUAUUAAAAAACAUCACUAUUUAACAGAAUAAAGCUAUCAGAUAAACUGUUAGAUAAACAGAUAAAUACUAACCAGUCUUUAAUGGAGGUGUGGCUGCAGGUGGAGGACUGGGGACAUAACUUUCCUCUCCCACCAUGAGAUUCCCUUGGAUGGAGCCAGACUGCGUCAUAAGUGUGCCAUUGUGCCCUGAUGUUUCAGGCUUUGUGAUGGAGCUUAAAAUCUGCGUGAAUGCAAUGAACUUUGUAUCUUGAGAAGUCUUCAUGUUUUCUUUGUUGUUCGCCUCUACAUUUGUAUUAAAUGUCUCUAAA